rnacentral:rRNA from 1 species
GAAAACUUUACUCCGCUGGAAACAGCGAUAGGGGGACUUUGAGUGCCAGGAUACAAUUCUGGCUGUCGUCGUGCCUAAAAAGCACGGCAUAGCAAGGGCCGGGCAAGACCGGUGCCAGCCGCCGCGGUAACACCGGCGGCUCGAGUGGUAACCGCUAUUAUUGGGUCUAAAGGGUCUGUAGCCGGCUGAAAAAGUCUCUUGGGAAAUCCGGCAGCUUAACUGUCGGGCUUUCAGGAGAUACUCUUCGGCUCGAGACCGGGAGAGGUGAGAGGUACUUCAUGGGUAGGGGUGAAAUCUUGUAAUCCUUGAAGGACCACCAGUGGCGAAGGCGUCUCACCAGAACGGAUCUGACGGCAAGGGACGAAAGCUAGGGGCACGAACCGGAUUAGAUACCCGGGUAGUCCUAGCCGUAAACGAUACUCGCUAGGUGUCGGCCACGGUGCGACCGUGGUCGGUGCCGUAGGGAAGCCGUGAAGCGAGCCACCUGGGAAGUACGGCCGCAAGGCUGAAACUUAAAGGAAUUGGCGGGGGAGCAC